rnacentral:rRNA from 1 species
CUACGGGACGCUGCAGUGAGGAAUAUUGCACAAUGGGGGGAACCCUGAUGCAGCAACGCCGCGUGGAGGAUGACGCAUUUCGGUGUGUAAACUCCUUUUAUAUGUCAAGAAAAUGACGGUAGCAUAUGAAUAAGCACCGGCUAACUCCGUGCCAGCAGCCGCGUGUAAUACGGAGGGUGCAAGCGUUACUCGGAAUCACUGGGCGUAAAGGACGCGUAGGCGGGUUGGAAAGUCAGGUGUGAAAUCCUACAGCUUAACUGUAGAACUGCACUUGAAACUUCUAAUCUAGAGUAUGGGAGGGGAGAUGGAAUUAGUGGUGUAGGGGUAAUAUCCGUAGAUAUCACUAGGAAUACCUAAAGCGAAGGCGAUCUCCUGGAACAUUACUGACGCUAAGGCGUGAAAGCGUGGGGAGCAAACAGGAUUAGAUACCCUGGUAGUC